AUCCUCUUCUGGUUCAUAAGCAUGAUGAUCGUGUGUUCACACAUUUGUGCGACGUAUCCCUUAAAUCUUGUUAUUCAUUUGACACAUUACUAUAUGGUGUGAAA
ensembl:snoRNA